rnacentral:tRNA from 1 species
GAGGGUAGAGCUAAGCGGUAGAGUGCUGUGCUUAGCAUGCACGAGGUCCUGGGUUCCAGCCCCAGUGCCUCCA